GAUGAACGCUGGCGGCGUGCCUAAUACAUGCAAGUCGAGCGAACAGACGAGGAGCUUGCUCCUCUGACGUUAGCGGCGGACGGGUGAGUAACACGUGGAUAACCUACCUAUAAGACUUGGAUAACUUCGGGAAACCGGAGCUAAUACCGGAUAAUAUAUUGAACCGCAUGGUUCAAUAGUGAAAGACGGUUUUGCUGUCACUUAUAGAUGGAUCCGCGCCGCAUUAGCUAGUUGGUAAGGUAACGGCUUACCAAGGCGACGAUGCGUAGCCGACCUGAGAGGGUGAUCGGCCACACUGGAACUGAGACACGGUCCAGACUCCUACGGGAGGCAGCAGUAGGGAAUCUUCCGCAAUGGGCGAAAGCCUGACGGAGCAACGCCGCGUGAGUGAUGAAGGUCUUCGGAUCGUAAAACUCUGUUAUUAGGGAAGAACAAAUGUGUAAGCAACUAUGCACGUCUUGACGGUACCUAAUCAGAAAGCCACGGCUAACUACGUG
rnacentral:rRNA from 1 species